rnacentral:rRNA from 1 species
UACGGAGGGUGCGAGCGUUGUCCGGAAUCACUGGGCGUAAAGGGCGCGUAGGCGGCGCGGAAAGUCGUCGGUGAAAGCUCGGGGCUCAACCCUGAGUCUGCCGGUGAUACUCCCGCGCUCGAACUCACUAGAGGCAGAUGGAAUUCCGGGUGUAGCGGUGGAAUGCGUAGAGAUCCGGAAGAACACCGGUGGCGAAGGCGGUCUGCUGGGGUGAGGCUGACGCUGAUGCGCGACAGCGUGGGGAGCAAACAGG